rnacentral:rRNA from 1 species
AUUGAACGCUGGCGGCAUGCCUUACACAUGCAAGUCGAACGGCAGCACGGGAGCAAUCCUGGUGGCGAGUGGCGAACGGGUGAGUAAAGCAUCGGAACGUGCCCAGUCGUGGGGGAUAACGUAGCGAAAGCUACGCUAAUACCGCAUACGAUCUGUGGAUGAAAGCGGGGGACCGUAAGGCCUCGCGCGAUUGGAGCGGCCGAUGUCAGAUUAGGUAGUUGGUGAGGUAAAGGCUCACCAAGACGACGAUCUGUGGCUGGUCUGAGAGGACGACCAGCCACACUGGGACUGAGACACGGCCCAGACUCCUACGGGAGGCAGCAGUGGGGAAUUUUGGACAAUGGGCGCAAGCCUGAUCCAGCAAUGCCGCGUGCAGGAUGAAGGCCUUCGGGUUGUAAACUGCUUUUGUACGGAGCGAAACGGCUUCCACUAAUACUGGGGGCUAAUGACGGUACCGUAAGAAUAAGCACCGGCUAACUACGUGCCAGCAGCCGCGGUAAGAC